AUGGGAGAGCUUAGGACUCUUGCGGUAGAAGCAAAUGCUCGACAUGAGAGUUACAAGAUUGAUGAUUGCAAGCCUAGCUAUGGUUUUGUAGUUGUCGACCCUCGGCUUCCCACGAUCUACCAGGAGGCAAUCGGCCUUGUGGGCAUUGACGGCCCAAUGGAGGAGGUUUCCAAUUGGUUGAUGGAUACUCAGAAAAAACUCAAGGUUGUUUCUAUUGUGGGUUUCGGAGGUCUGGGUAAAACUACACUUGCCAAACAGGUGUAUGACAAGAUCAAGGAAAAUUUUGAUUGUGUAGCAUUCAUUUCAGUUUCACUGAGGCCUGAUAUGAGAGUAAUUCUCAAUCGCCUAAAAUUGAAAUUUAGGAUAAAUGAGUGUUCUAACGAUCACGGAUUUGACGACAUCAUUGAAGAGCUAAGGAAGUAUCUUGCAUAUAAAAGGUACCUUAUUGUAGUUGAUGACUUGUGGGAUCAAUCAGCAUGGAAUAUUAUUAGUUGUGCUUUUCCAGAUAAUGGUAAUGGGAGCAGAGUAUUAGUAACCACGCGAGUUGAAGAUGUGACUAGUGUGGCAUGUUGCUGUGACCGUGAAUGCAUUUACACAAUGAAGCCUCUCAAUGAACAAAACUCAGGAAUGCUAUUCUCUAAUAGAGUAUUUGGGGAGGAAGUUGUUUGUCUACCCCAUCUUGAAGAUCUCAUGGCCGAAAUUCUGAAGAAGUGUGGCGGAUUGCCGCUUGCAAUAAUCACUAUAGCUAGCCUGUUAGCUACUCACGUGAGAUCAAGGAAACACUGGGAGAGCAUAAGAAAAUCUUUGCGUGCCCAAUCUUCUCCAAAUCCUUCAUUGAAAGAGAUAAAAAAUAUAUUAAACCUUAGCUACACACAUCUUCCUCUUCAUCUCCGGGCAUGUUUUUUGUACCUUGGUAUGUAUCCUGAGGACCACAUCAUAAGGCGGGAUCAGCUGGAACAAUGGAUGGCUGAAGGCUUCGUCAGCAGUUUGCCUGGCCCAGAUUUGGAGGAUGUUGGCAGGAGUUAUUUCAAUGAGCUCGUCAAUAGAAGCAUGAUUCAGCCAUCGGAAAUCGAGUAUGGAGAGGUGUUGUCUUGCACAAUACAUGACAUGAUGCUUGAUUUGAUCCUAAGCAAGUGUGUAGAAGAUAAUUUUAUAAGUGUGGCAUACAAUUCUGAGGACAUGGAAAGGCUGCUACAUCACUGCAGAUACAAGGUUCUCCGAUUAUCCCUGAGCUCCAUGGCUGUUGGUGGGUCAACAUUUGGCACGACUAUUGCUGCUAGGCUGUCACAAGUUCGAUCAUUAUUGUUCAAGAACCAUAUACUGCCUCUUUUAUGGUUCAAGUACCUCAGGGUGCUAAUCAUUUUUGGUGGGCACUGUGGGUCAGAGAUAAUUGACCUCACUGCUGUUAGCCAAUUGUUUCAGCUGAGAUGUCUGAUGGUAAAUGCUUAUGGGAAAAUAAAGCUCCCUACUAAACUUGGUAAGCUUGUUUACUUGGAGACACUAGACAUAGAAAAUUCCACAUUGAUGGAGUGCAUCCCAUCAGAUAUAGUACAUUUGCCCCGCCUGUCUCAUCUGCUUCUUAGAAAGUCUACACACCUGCCUAAAGGUAUCGGGAAUAUGAAAUCAUUGUGUACUCUGCGAGGGCUUGACAUGAAAAAGAGCUCGCUGGAAUGUUUUGUGGGUCUCGGCGAGCUGACCAAUUUAAGGGAACUGCAUAUGUCAUUAGGUGAUCUUAGUUUGAGUUUCCCAAAAGUUGAUGCUUUGACUUGCUCCAUUGGAAAACUCUGUAACCUUGAACGUCUGAGCAUCUCUGGCAAUCAUGUUGAGCAUGACGAUAACCAGCAGCUGGACUCAUUAUCCAAUCCUUUUCAACAUAUUGAGUGUCUUGAAUUGCAAUUUUUGUGUUAUGGAGAGUUCCAAAAUGGUUGUGUGGUCUCCAUUGCCUGAGCUUCCUCUCCCUGUUUGUUGAAGUGA
rnacentral:rRNA from 1 species